CGAAUGUGCAGGGCUUCCUCGCCGGUUACCUCAUCUAUUAGGUACUUACCCAACUGGUGCACAUGGAUGUGAUGACUUUGCAGCGUUUAUGGACCAACCAACCUGUAAUCAUGGAUAUUACGUGUGUUGUAGACCAUUUGGUGUUUCAGAGCUUGCACUUUGUGAAUGUAGAUACAGACUUGUGUGUUCUGGACCAUCUUAGUUGAAGUCUCUCAUACUAGCAAAUAGUCCCAUCUUUUUGUAACUUGUGUGUUUUGGGUGAUUGUGAAGAUGGCCAAAACUAUGCUUUGUCAAGAUUGAUGUGUUUUUCUAUUGGUGUUCAAUGUAUAUGCAUGAUUCUGAACA